rnacentral:rRNA from 1 species
UACGGGGGGGGGCAAGCGUUGUUCGGAAUUACUGGGCGUAAAGGGCUCGUAGGCGGCCAACUAAGUCAGACGUGAAAUCCCUCGGCUUAACCGGGGAACUGCGUCUGAUACUGGAUGGCUUGAGGUUGGGAGAGGGAUGCGGAAUUCCAGGUGUAGCGGUGAAAUGCGUAGAUAUCUGGAGGAACACCGGUGGCGAAGGCGGCCUUCUGGACGGUGACUGACGCUGAGACGCGAAAGCGUG